UGGGGAAUAUUGCACAAUGGGCGCAAGCCUGAUGCAGCCAUGCCGCGUGUAUGAAGAAGGCCUUCGGGUUGUAAAGUACUUUCAGCGGGGAGGAAGGGAGUAAAGUUAAUCCCUUUGCUCAUUGACGUUACCCGCAGAAGAAGCACCGGCUAACUCCGGGCCAGCAGCCGCGGUAAUACGGAGGGUGCAAGCGUUAAUCGGAAUUACUGGGCGUAAAGCGCACGCAGGCGGUUUGUUAAGUCAGAUGUGAAAUCCCCGGGCUCAACCUGGGAACUGCAUCUGAUACUGGCAAGCUUGAGUCUCGUAGAGGGGGGUAGAAUUCCAGGUGUAGCGGUGAAAUGCGUAGAGAUCUGGAGGAAUACCGGUGGCGAAGGCGGCCCCCUGGACGAAGACUGACGCUCAGGUGCGAAAGCGUGGGGAGCAAACAGG
rnacentral:rRNA from 1 species